AAAGGAAUUGACGGGGGCCCGCACAAGCGGUGGAGCAUGUGGUUUAAUUCGACGCAACGCGAAGAACCUUACCUGGGCUAGACAACGGUCGGACCUCCCAGAGAUGGGGAUUCCCUUCGGGGACUGCCGGAUCAGGUGCUGCAUGGCUGUCGUCAGCUCGUGUCGUGAGAUGUUGGGUUAAGUCCCGCAACGAGCGCAACCCUUGCCUUUAGUUGCCAGCAGUUCGGCUGGGCACUCUAAAGGGACUGCCGGUGUUAAACCGGAGGAAGGUGGGGAUGACGUCAAGUCCUCAUGGCCUUUAUGACCAGGGCUACACACGUACUACAAUGGCCGAUACAAAGGGCAGCGACAUUGCGAAAUGGAGCCAAUCCCAUAAAAUUCGGUCUCAGUCCGGAUUGGAGUCUGCAACUCGACUCCAUGAAGUUGGAAUCGCUAGUAAUCGUGGAUCAGCAUGCCACGGUGAAUACGUUCCCGGGCCUU
rnacentral:rRNA from 1 species